UACAGAGGUCUCAAGCGUUGUUCGGAAUCAUUGGGCGUAAAGGGUGCGUAGGCGGCCAACUAAGUCAGACGUGAAAUCCCUCGGCUUAACCGGGGAACUGCGUCUGAUACUGGAUGGCUUGAAUCCGGGAGAGGGAUGCGGAAUUCCAGGUGUAGCGGUGAAAUGCGUAGAUAUCUGGAGGAACACCGGUGGCGAAGGCGGCAUCCUGGACCGGUAUUGACGCUGAGGCGCGAAAGCCAGGGGAGCAAACGGG
rnacentral:rRNA from 1 species